rnacentral:snRNA from 1 species
AGCUUUGCGCAGUGGCAGUAUCGUAGCCAAUGAGGUUUAUCCGAGGUGCGAUUAUUGCUAAUUGAAAACUUUGUCUCCCACCUG